AGGUCCCUCGGAAAACCUUUCUCUACAAGAUUGCCAGCUUGGCCAAAGCAAUGUGAAACCUGACUCAAAAAAGCCUCUCUCUAUGUCACAGUUGAUGCAAUGGAAACACUAUUCUGGGAAUCACGAAAAUCUUCCCGAUCCCUUUCUUAGAAGAGUAAAAGAAAACAUUACAUUCGUUUUCCAAAAUAUGACCAACUAAAUGAUGCCAUCUAAACAGGGACGUUAGUUUCUCCCUUAGUCACAAUGGACGUUUGUGCGUUAUCUUUUACAAGCAAAGCAAACUAAUGGGAUUGUUGGGGAAUUAUAAAGAGCAUGUAAUAAGGUUUAUAUUGGGGAAAGAUUUAAGAAUAAAUUAUGGUUGGGGAAGACAUCUUGUUUACUAUUACUUUUUCUGAUUUGGUGUCAUAAAUAAAAUUAUUUUGUA